rnacentral:rRNA from 1 species
UACGUAGGGUGCGAGCGUUGUCCGGAUUUAUUGGGCGUAAAGGGCUCGUAGGCGGCGUGUCGCGUCGGGAGUGAAAGCCCGUUGCUUAACGGCGGGUUGGCUUUCGGUACGGGCAUGCUGGAGUGCGGCAGGGGAGACUGGAAUUCCUGGUGUAGCGGUGGAAUGCGCAGAUAUCAAGUGGAACACCAGUGGCGAAGGCGAGUCUCUGGACAUUUCCUGACGCUGAGGAGCGAAAGUGUGGGGAGCGAACAGG